AUAUAUGAAGUAAAUUUUACAUUUAAUUUCGACUUAAAAUUUAACUUGAAUAGUUCUUAUAUA
rnacentral:tRNA from 1 species